ACGGGAGGCAGCAGCUAAGAAUAUUCCGCAAUGGACGAAAGUCUGACGGAGCGACGCCGCGUGGAUGAUGAAGGUCGGAAGAUUGUAAAAUCCUUUUAUAACUGAGGAAUAAGUCUGGUGAGAGAAACGCCGGAUGGUGACUGUAGGUUAUGAAUAAGCAUCGGCUAACUCCGUGCCAGCAGCCGCGGUAAUACGGAGGAUGCGAGCGUUAUCCGGAUUUAUUGGGUUUAAAGGGUGCGCAGGCGGCACGUUAAGUCAGCGGUGAAAUGCAGGGGCUCAACCCCGGCACUGCCGUUGAAACUGGCGAGCUCGAGUACGGAUGAAGUCGGCGGAAUGUGAUGUGUAGCGGUGAAAUGCUUAGAUAUGUCACAGAACACCGAUUGCGAAGGCAGCUGACUAAUCCGCAACUGACGCUCAGGCGCGAAAGCGUGGGGAUCGAACAGGAUUAGAUACCCUGGUA
rnacentral:rRNA from 1 species